UACAGAGGGUGCGAGCGUUGUUCGGAAUUAUUGGGCGUAAAGGGCGCGUAGGCGGCGCCACAAGUCACUUGUGAAAACUCUGGGCUCAACUCAGAGCCUGCAGCCGAUACGGGCAAGCUAGAAUUCGGUAGGGGAGACUGGAAUUCCUGGUGUAGCGGUGAAAUGCGCAGAUAUCAGGAGGAACACCGGUGGCGAAGGCGGGUCUCUGGGCCGAAAUUGACGCUGAGGAGCGAAAGCGUGGGGAGCAAACAGG
rnacentral:rRNA from 1 species